rnacentral:rRNA from 1 species
AACGAACGCUGGCGGCAUGCCUAACACAUGCAAGUCGAACGAGACCUUCGGGUCUAGUGGCGCACGGGUGCGUAACGCGUGGGAACCUGCCCUUAGGUUCGGAAUAACUCCCCGAAAGGGGUGCUAAUACCGGAUCAUGUCUUCGGACCAAAGAUUUAUCGCCUUUGGAUGGGCCCGCGUUGGAUUAGCUAGUUGGUAGGGUAAAAGCCUACCAAGGCGACGAUCCAUAGCUGGUCUGAGAGGAUGAGCAGCCACACUGGGACUGAGACACGGCCCAGACUCCUACGGGAGGCAGCAGUGGGGAAUAUUGGACAAUGGGCGAAAGCCUGAUCCAGCAAUGCCGCGUGAGUGAUGAAGGCCUUAGGGUUGUAAAGCUCUUUUACCCGGGAUGAUAAUGACAGUACCGGGAGAAUAAGCUCCGGCUAACUCCGUG